GCCUUAGUAACGGCGAGUGAAGCGGCAACAGCUCAAAUUUGAAAUCUAGUGCCUUUGGGUGCUCGAGUUGUAAUUUGUAGAGGAUGUUUCGGUAUUUGCACUAAUUUAAGUCCUUUGGAACAGGGCAUCAUAGAGGGUGAGGGUCCCGUAUGUAAUUAGUUGUAUUUGCCAUGUGAAGCUCCUUCGACGAGUCGAGUUGUUUGGGAAUGCAGCUCUAAUUGGGAGGUAAAUUUCUUCUAAAGCUAAAUAUUGGCCAGAGACCGAUAGCGCACAAGUAGAGUGAUCGAAAGAUGAAAAGCACUUUGGAAAGAGAGUCAAAUAGUACGUGAAAUUGUUGAAAGGGAAGCGCUUACAGCUAGACCUGCUUGUAGUCAUUUAUCUAAACCUUUUGGUUUAGUGUAUUUUUCUAUAAGUCAGGCCAGUAUCAGUUUAGGCGGUUGGAUAAAGAAGUCAGGAAUGUAGCUCCUCUUGGGGAGUGUUAUAGCCUGUUUUGAAAUGCAGCCAGCCUAGAUUGAGGUCCGCGCUUCGGCUAGGAUACUGGCGUAAUGGCUGUAAGCGGCCCGUCUUGAAACACGGACCAAGGAGUCUAACAUCUAUGCGAGUGUUUGGGUGUUAAACCUAUGCGCGUAAUAAAAGUGAACGGAGGCGGGAAUCUUUUUUUAGGUGCACCGUCGACCGAUCCUGAUGUUUUCGGAUGGAUUUGAGUAAGAGCAUAGCUGUUAGGACCCGAAAGAUGGUGAACUAUGCUUGAAUAGGGUGAAGCCAGAGGAAACUCUGGUGGAGGCUCGCAGCGGUUCUGACGUGCAAAUCGAUCGU
rnacentral:rRNA from 1 species